rnacentral:rRNA from 1 species
GUCUCAGUUCGGAUUGGAGUCUGCAACCCGACUCCAUGAAGCUGGAUUCGCUAGUAAUUGCGCAUCAGCCAUGGCGCGGUGAAUACGUUCCCGGGCCUUGUACACACCGCCCGUCAAGCCAUGGGAGCCGGGGGUGCUUGAAGUGCGUCGCCGCAAGGCGCGCCCUAGAGCAAAACCGGUGACUGGGGCUAAGUCGUAACAAGGUAUC